rnacentral:lncRNA from 1 species
AUGAGUAGAAUCGCAGAAAUGAAGGCCUCCUGUUACUCAUAUCCCAAACCAUGCAGAAAUACAGGUAAUCUUCUAAAAUUUUCCUACACUUACACGCGUACGGAGCAGCAGCAGCCAAGUUUGAGUACACGGCUUUCGCCAGCAGGUGGCGCUGUGCGCUGCGUGCCGGGGCCGGCAAGCGGAGCCUCGGGCGGCUCUGAGCGCCACAUGGGCACCCGCCGCCCCCUGCUUAGCGGCUGUAGCUCUUGGACACGUCCCACCUGCGGCGCGGUGCCGGCGCUGCGGUUCACUGCUCCGCUCGUUGCUGCAGUGGACGAGAUUUGGCAGGAUAGUAAAAUGAAUUCUAAGUCCCCGCAGAGAAGAAUAUACUCUGUUGACGCUUUUAUCCUGUAAGCUGACUCUGUCUUACAUAGCUCAGCUGUUUAUGUCAGAAUGACCUGAAGGAGGACGCACUCCAAGUAACCACGCUGCAAUCAGUCCUUGGAAAUGUGGAUGGCUAACUGAAAUGACUUAGUUCUCGUCUUACUAAAUGGGUUGGAUAGCUAACCUGAAACAUUGACUGACAACAUGAUUUCAUAUGUAAUGAAUUAAAGCUGCUGAAUCCUAGAAUAUAAGAAAGUAGUCUCAAGAUAAUCGUCUGCCUUGCAAAAACUGUUAGUAGACCUGCCAGGUUACCUCAUCAGGCUGGAUGUUUUAAGAAGUGUUGGCUUCUGAGACAUGUAUUGAUUUUGUUGUAUAGAAAUGGUCAUUUUUUACAUCAGUUACUUGUUAGAGACCCAGUCCACUAGUCUGUGGUACCACGAAGGUAUAGAAAAAUGGGACACCUAUGAAAAGUUCCUUUUAUCAUAAAGGUUUUCUAUUAGGUUGUAAUGUGUCAAGAGACUCUUCUAUUCUGGGAUGUACAGUCAUUGGAUGGUUAAGUUACUUUUCUUCACUAGAGCAGUGAAAAGUAAGGUGACAUAAAUAUGGCUGGGAGCAAAAUUUACGUUCUUGCUUUAAGAACUCAGAAUUUGAUCGUAGCGUAAGUAAACAUGGUUGUGGGGUGUAACACUUUUUCUCACACUAUACUGAAGGUGACUGCUGUGCAGCUGUACAAGGUAACUCUAAUUAAAACAGUUUCCCCUUGAAAUGUAAUUUUGUUCUUCCUCUUCACUAU